CAGGGCGUGGCCGCCAGCGGGGCGUUUGCGCCUGCGCGGACCCUGUACCCGGAAGUCGCUGUCUGGCGGCCGCGCGCGUCUGUGCAGGAAUGCCAGCAUGCUGAGUGAGACAGCCGGAGAGAAAGACCGGCCCUGAGUCAUCUCGCUAAGAGGAAGAAUAAAGGACAAGAGGGGAGACACAAGGUUCCAGAUGCCAGCAUGAUGCCAACCCGACUUCCCUGGGCAAACGACCCCACCAUGUGUCCUGGAGCCCCGCUUUCCCAGAGCUCUGCCCCAUUAGGGAAAGAGACAGGCUGGAGUAUGGAUCCACCUGCCAAUGCCCAUGUUCAGCGGGGAAGCAAUUACAGAAGCCAGACCUUCCACCUUCUGCACCCCAUAAUGACCCUGGGUCCAUGCUCCCAGAGGGAUAAAGAAUAGGAAAGCUAUCAGGAAAGGGGAUGGGAUACGGAGCUCUGGUGGUGGGAACUGAGUGGAAUUGUACCCCUACCCCUCUUAUCCUAUGAUCUUGUCAGUGUUUCCAUUUUAUAAAUAAAAAUAAAACUCUAAAUAAAUAAAUAAAUAAAUAAAUAAGCUGGUGUCUAAGCCCUAGCCUGCGGCGUUUCCGGGGAGAAU